UGAUCUUGCCUGUUGGUGAGUCAAGGCUUCAAACCUUGUGGGGCUUGGCGGCUUGCGCACGUUUCCCCU
rnacentral:tRNA from 15 species